rnacentral:rRNA from 1 species
CAGCAGCCGCGGGAAAACAGAGGGUGCGAGCGUUAAUCGGAUUUACUGGGCGUAAAGCGUGCGUAGGCGGCUUCUUAAGUCGGAUGUGAAAUCCCUGAGCUUAACUUAGGAAUUGCAUUCGAUACUGGGAAGCUAGAGUAUGGGAGAGGAUGGUAGAAUUCCAGGUGUAGCGGUGAAAUGCGUAGAGAUCUGGAGGAAUACCGAUGGCGAAGGCAGCCAUCUGGCCUAAUACUGACGCUGAGGUACGAAAGCAUGGGGAGCAAACAGGAUUAGAUACCCCGGUAGUCCCUGUCUCUUAUAC